rnacentral:lncRNA from 1 species
AUGCUACUUCAUUUAUUUUGUUCCUUGUAUCAUCACAGCUUUGGCCAUGAGAAGCUCUUUUCUUUUUUUUUUUUUUUUUCAUCACAAAUAGGAUUUUAUUUAUCACUAUUAAAAAUCUGGAUUUUAAACAGACUCUUGGACUGGUGGUUCAUAUCCAUCAGCUCGUUCAACUUUAGCUCCAGUCUCAUCUCCAGUAGCUUUUCCAGAGCUACUACCUUCACCAUGAAGCUCCAUGAGUUUUCCCAAUUCAAACUUGGGCUUCUUCAGCAUUUUCACUUUUCUGACAAAGACAUCAUGAAGAGGAUAAAUAGACUGGCAAGCUUUUUCUAUGUCUUUCCCAAUGCUGUCUGGAAUCAACUUAUUUACCACUUCCUUCAGGUCAUUUGUCUGCACCUCUCGGGUCAUGAUUGGGCCCAUCAGAUGCAAUUUUGGUUCCUUGAGUUCUGGUGACUAGUGUUUUUCCAAUAUUUCUUAUGUUGAACAUAGCCGGUGCCUUCACGUCAUACCAGUCGUUUUUAGAAAAUGGGUCAACCACUUUCUUCUUGGCUCCCUUUUUGCCGCCUUUCCUAAGGCGCUUGUUCUUGCCCACCGCCAUGGUGCUGCUCAGAGAGCCAAAAGAGCGGAACUAUAACUCGCGCGAGAACUUAGGCGUAUGGGACCCGGGCGGGCAGGGUGAGAAGCUCUUUUCUUUGAGUCCUGUGUCCCUUUAAAAAUAUUCAUAAAAUGUAUGUUGUUAAAAAUACUCAUAAAAAUGUAUGUUGCUUUUGUUUUAAUUUUUGAGUACUUCUGUACCUUCUGGUAUUCAGACUGUGCUUUAAGCUGAUCUUGUACAUUUCCUAUACCAGUCUUGGCAUCAGCCAUUUCUCCAAAGAUCCCUGGUUGCUGUUACUGAAGGUUGAUACUAGAAACCGAAAUCGGGGAGCAGAUGUUUCAGUGCUUUUUUAAAUGCUAUAAAAAGCCAUGGUGGGCUGGGGAUUUAGCUCAGUGGUGCCGCCACCUGCCCCAAAAGCUCAAGGACCCAAGUUUGAUCCCUGGUACCAAAAAAACAAAAAACAAAAAAACCAUGGUCAGGUAAUGGUUUCUGAAACAUGUCACUGAAAACAAGUAAAUUGGGCACCAUCAAAAUUCAAAACCUUUAUUUGUCAAUAGACACUAUCAAGAAAAGAAAAUCCUACUGAAAGGGGGGAUAUUUACAAAUUAGGUCUAUUAUAAAGGUCUAAUAUUCAAAAUAUGUACAACUCCAUAAUAAAAAAAAAACCUAAUUAAAACUAAGCAAAGGAUUUCAAUAAACAUUUCACCAAAGAAGAUUUACAGUGGACAAUAAAUA